UUACAAUUAAAGGAUAUUUCUUUGAAGUUGAUUCAAAAGCAGAAAUGUCCCUUAAUUGUUGGGU
rnacentral:pre_miRNA from 1 species